UACGGAGGGUGCAAGCGUUGUCCGGAAUCACUGGGCGUAAAGGGCGCGUAGGCGGCUCAUGAAGGCUGUGGUGAAAGUCCGGGGCUCAACCUCGGAUCGACCGUGGCGACUCGUGGGCUGGAGCACUGUAGAGGCGGGUGGAAUUCCGGGUGUAGCGGUGGAAUGCGUAGAGAUCCGGAAGAACACCAGUGGCGAAGGCGGCCCGCUGGGCAGUGGCUGACGCUGAGGCGCGACAGCGUGGGGAGCGAACAGG
rnacentral:rRNA from 1 species